AACGAACGCUGGCGGCAGGCUUAACACAUGCAAGUCGAGCGCCCCGCAAGGGGAGCGGCAGACGGGUGAGUAACGCGUGGGAAUCUACCCAUCUCUACGGAGUAACGCAUGGAAACGUGUGCUAAUACCGUAUACGUCCUUCGGGAGAAAGAUUUAUCGGAGAUGGAUGAGGCCGCGUUGGAUUAGCUAGUUGGUGGGGUAAAGGCCUACCAAGGCGACGAUCCAUAGCUGGUCUGAGAGGAUGAUCAGCCACACUGGGACUGAGACACGGCCCAGACUCCUACGGGAGGCAGCAGUGGGGAAUAUUGGACAAUGGGCGCAAGCCUGAUCCAGCCAUGCCGCGUGAGUGAUGAAGGCCCUAGGGUUGUAAAGCUCUUUCACCGGUGAAGAUAAUGACGGUAACCGGAGAAGCAGCCCCGGCUAACUUCGUGCCAGCCGCCGCGGUAACAC
rnacentral:rRNA from 1 species